rnacentral:rRNA from 1 species
UACGGGGGGGGCAAGCGUUGUUCGGAAUUACUGGGCGUAAAGGGCUUGUAGGUGGCCAACUAAGUCAGACGUGAAAUCCCUCAGCUUAACUGGGGAACUGCGUCUGAUACUGGAUGGCUUGAGAUUGGGAGAGGGACGCGGAAUUCCAGGUGUAGCGGUGAAAUGCGUAGAUAUCUGGAGGAACACCGGUGGCGAAGGCGGGUCUCUGGGCAGUAACUGACGCUGAGGAGCGAAAGCGUGGGUAGCGAACAGG